CUUGGUCAUUUAGAGGAGUAAAAGUCGUAACAAGGUUUCCGUAGGUGAACCUGCGGAAGGAUCAUUAUCGAAAUUAUUGGUGAGGGUUGUAGCUGGCCUUUCGAGGCAUGUGCACGCUCGAGCCCUUAAUCCACUUUACACCUGUGCACUUAAUGUAGGUCGCCCUUAAAAAAGGUGACCUAUGUCUUAUCAUCAACCCAUCGUAUGUCUCAUAGAAUGUAAUCGAUAUCCUCGCCCUAAAAAAGCGUUGAUAAACUUAUACAACUUUCAACAACGGAUCUCUUGGCUCUCGCAUCGAUGAAGAACGCAGCGAAAUGCGAUAAGUAAUGUGAAUUGCAGAUUUUCAGUGAAUCAUCGAAUCUUUGAACGCACCUUGCGCUCCUUGGUAUUCCGAGGAGCAUGCCUGUUUGAGUGUCAUUAAAUUCUCGACUCCAAGGGUUUCACGACCUUUCGGAGAUUGGACUUGGAGGUGCUGGCCGCAUAUUGGUCGGCUCCUCUCAAAUGCAUCAGCGGAAUUCAACCUUUGGCUUCCGGAUGUCAGUGUGAUAAUCAUGUUGCGCUGUCGUUUGAUCCCUCAGAGUCCGCUUAUAAUGGUCUUCGGACAAAAUCAUCAUCAAAUUUGACCUCAAUCAUGUAGGACUACCCGCUGAACUUAAGCAUAUCAAUAAGCGGAGGA
rnacentral:rRNA from 1 species